CUCUUUGAAAGGGUAGAUAACAGCAGGACAAGGCGGAACCGUUCUAAGUUGAAAGAGGGAAGAUUUAGGUUGGAUGUUAGGGGGAAGUGCUUUACAGGAGACUGGUGAGGUGCUGGAACAGCUGCCCAGAGAGGCUGUGGAUGCCCCGUCCAUCCCUGGAGGUGUUCAAGGCCAGGCUGGACGGGGCCCUGGGCAGCCUGGUCUAGUAAAUGGGGAGGUUGGUGGCCCUGCCUGGCAGGGGGGUUGGAGAUUCAUGAUCCUUGAGGUCCCCCCAACCCAGGCCAUUCUGUGACUCUGAUUCUGUGGGUCAGGUCUCCAGGGACGGAGCAUCCACGGCAUCUCUGUGCAACCUGUGCCAGUGCCUCACCACCCCCCUGCAGAAGAUUCUGUCCCUGUAGCCAACCUAA
rnacentral:lncRNA from 1 species